rnacentral:lncRNA from 1 species
CUGUAGUCUGGGGGGAUUCUGAGGAGUAUACUGUAGUCUGGGGGGGUUCUGAGGAGUAUACUUCUGGGGGGGGGGUCCUGAGGAGUAUACUGUAGUCUGCAGAGGGGGGUGACAGUCUGAGGCUGGAACAGCUGCAUGUGCUCUGAGUAACUGUUUAACUUGACAUUUUCCCAGCAUCUCUUCCUGCUUGUCUCCCAUAUGGUCUAUUCCUGUACACGGAGGCAGGCAGACCCCUCUGCCCCCAGGGGAAAUCUACAUUUCCUAUCCGGGUGGGGGAGAUGAAUUCCCGGGCUGUGUUCAGUCAAGGUUAAGGGUGUUCAGUAAUGGCCUCAGAUCUGAAUUGAAGGGUCAAUUGAAGGAAUUUUACAAGGUAAUAAGCUCACCACAGCUGUGAGGAGUCACAGUUUAACUUUAUUCCCACAAAAUCAACUUUAAUUAUAAUUUUUGAAUGUGACACUAUCCAAUCUCCCACCUCUAUAACAGCCAAUGAUUUGGGAUUCACACACACACACACACACACACACACGAAGUUAAACUCUUGAUAGCGAUGUUUUGUCUUUGAAGUUUCCUAUUUAACACAUUCCAUCGCCUGUUCUGUUCCUAUUUCCUCAUGUGUUUUCCAUGACUACAACCUUUUGACACUAUGUUUUAUGUCCGGCCAUUGUAUCUGGGGGCAUAGAAUUGUCCAAAGUAAUCAACUGACGACAAUACUACGUUUGAGGAUUUAUUGAUACAUUACAUGGCCAAAAGUAUUUGGACACCUGCUCAUCGAACAUCUUAUUCCAAAAUCAUGGGCAUUAAUAUAGGGUAUACUGAAUAUGGAGUUGGAUUCCCCUUUACUGCUAUAACAGCCUCCAUUCUUCUGUUGAAGACUUUCCACCAGAUGUUAGAACGUAGCUGAUUAACUGAUUCUUAGUCAUUAAAUGGAUAGUUCACCCAAAUGACACAUUGAAAUAUUGAUUUCCUUACUUUGUAAGCAGUUUAUGGACAAGGUAUCACAGCAAUCCAUGCUUUGGUUGUGUUUACAUGGCCGACUGUUUCAAAUGCUAACUUUUUAGCAUUUGUGGCCCAAAUCCAAUGCCAGUCAAUGGUACCUAUAUUAGCAUUUUCACACUUAAUGUCUAAAUAAUCUAUAAUGAACUGAUUUGGCCAUGACAUGCAUAAACUAUUCCUUUAAAUAUAACCAGCUUUCACUUAGCCUUUUACUAGGAGCAACCUUCCUAAAGUGAAGAUGUUGGUAAGGCCCAAAUAUUGUACUUGAAUAUACAGCACAUUUUGUUUGUGAUUAGCUUAUUACUUUGGUCUUAUGGUCUGUGAUAUGGACCAUGUUUUUGUUCUUCCUGUUUAGGGAUCAUGCCCACACUUUGUGCAAAUCUGUUCUUGCCCAUAGAGAUAGAUAGAGGGCUCUAGUGCCCAAAAGCAUGUUUUAGCAUGGGCAGCGCCAUUGAGGAUUUUUACCAUUUUGAAAUCAUCAGCUUAGUGGGACUUCCUAUGGGUUAAGGAAGAAUCAUAUAAUUCUAUCCAGGUUACAAGGAGGGAUCUGCCAAUAAAUUAUACUCAUGAGAAAAUGUUUCAUAACUGCUGGUUGCAGUCUCCAACCUUGGCUUUAUACCUGUUCAAACAACACUCUCUAGGUGUUAAUAUGCACUCUUUCAGUUUGUUUACCAACUCAUAGAAGUAGUAGAAGAAGAAAAUUGUCUACAUCAAAAUGGAGAUGGCCUCAAUUGGUCCUGCCCGUGUUCUCACAGACGCCAUAAUGGAGCAGAUGCAAUGAUGUGAUGUUUAUCUAAGUGUAUGGGUUUACCAUAUACAGAAAACAGUGUUCUAUUUGAAUUGAUGCUUAAAUGUAUGUUUGGAAAUAGAAAGUCAUCAACAAGUGGUAGGCUAUGGGAGGGGCCCC